UUAGUAAAUGGUAAUAUUUCAUUUCAUUAUAUAUCGAUCUACGAUGCCUUUUGUUUUUCAGAGAAAGAUAGCAUGUUAUUCAUUUCAUCCUUCUUUUUUAAGAAAUAAACUCAGUUGAAAAUGUGAAAAGAUCAACUAGGCUUCAAAUUUUACUUGAGAUCUUAAAUGCCAACCAUUAAAUUCUUUGUCACUGGUGCAUGCUAGGAACGGUCGAUUACUAUUCUUUUUGUUAGA
rnacentral:lncRNA from 1 species